UGUAUAAUCAUUGCAAAUGAACCUCACCCGUGAAACCCAGCAACGCAACCCAAACUAAUGGUUAGAAGAGAAACGUUUCUGAAAAGUUAUGUAGCGUUACGUAAAUUAAUGGAUUCUAACCUCACCUAAAAUAACGUUUCUGAAUUCAUCUUUAAAUCGUUAAUUGGGUAAUUUUCCAACCCCUGCAGAGUGCCUAUUUUAACAAGAGUGCUCUAUGAGUUUCUUUGACUUUCAAAAAUUGCAGACAAUAUAAAAGUGAUCUAGCUCUCCUUCAUAAAUAUCAAACUUUGAACAAGCUGUUUAAAAGUUUUCUGCCUAGGUUGAUGAAGGAUCCCAUAUACUUCUAAACUUUACUGACAUAGUAACUGGUGGUUCUGGCAGAAACAAAUUUACCAUCAGAUAUGGAAAGUGUAGUACCACCAUGGACUAUUGGAUAUCAGACAGAAACAUAGGCUCUCCAACAUCCCUAGUCAUGGAGUCUCGAGACGGGGUGAAUGUAAUAAAUUUUUCGCUUGGUGCAUCUAGAGGUCCUAGUGGAAGGUUCAAUAUAACCUGGACCGCUGUGCCAGAUACAACAUAGACUGCUUUAUAAACAUGGACGAGAUGAAAUAUUAAGAUUUUCAAAAAAUGAUCCCUCUACUGCACAAUUCGACCGAUGAAAUUGCUUUGCUGACAUUUUUUUGAUUUGGUCUGCUAAACUUAAUAUUUUAAAUAAUUUUGCACAUUUUACGAUAGAAAUAUUAUCUUUAACAUUCUAUCUACCUAUAAUUUCUGUCUGUUCAUUUCUA